CCCUUAGAUGUUCUGGGCUGCACGCGUGCUACACUGAACGGUUCAAUGGGUAAGGUAGUGCGAAAGCAUGACCUAAUCUCGAAAUCCGUUCGUGCUGGGGAUAGAAGCUUGCAAUUAUCCUUCUUGAACGAGGAAUACCUUGUAAGCGUGAGUCAUCAUCUCACGCUGAAUACGUCCCUGCCCUUUGUACACACCGCCCGUCGCUCCUACCGAUUGAGUGUUCCGGUGAGGCUUUGGGAGAAUGGCCUCAACAUGAGUUUAUCGUGUUUUGCCGUUUGAACUUAGUCAAACCUUAUCACUUAGAGGAAGGAGAAGUCGUAACA
rnacentral:rRNA from 1 species